rnacentral:rRNA from 1 species
UACGGAGGGUGCAAGCGUUAUCCGGAUUCACUGGGUUUAAAGGGUGCGUAGGAGGGCAGGUAAGUCAGUGGUGAAAUCCUGGGGCUUAACCCCAGACUGCCGUUGAUACUAUCGGUCUUGAAUGUCGUGGAGGUGAGCGGAAUAUGUCAUGUAGCGGUGAAAUGCUUAGAUAUGAACAUAGAACACCAAUUGCGAAGGCAGCU